UACGUAGGGUGCAAGCGUUAAUCGGAAUUACUGGGCGUAAGGCGUGCGCAGGCGGUUGUGCAAGACCGAUGUGAAAUCCCCGGGCUCAACCUGGGAAUGGCGAUGGAGACUGCAAGGCUAGAGUUUGGCAGAGGGGGGUAGAAUUCCACGUGUAGCAGUGAAAUGCGUAGAUAUGUGGAGGAACACCGAUGGCGAAGGCAGCCCCCUGGGUCAAAACUGACGCUCAUGCACGAAAGCGUGGGGAGCAAACAGG
rnacentral:rRNA from 1 species